rnacentral:rRNA from 1 species
GAUGAACGCUGACAGAAUGCUUAACACAUGCAAGUCUUUGGUGAAGCUGUGCUUGCACCGCCUAGCCAAGGCGGACGGGUGAGUAACGCGUAAGGAACUUGCCCUGCAGUCAGGGAUAACAGACGGAAACGACUGAUAAGACCUGGUAAAGUCAGGCGGACUCAUGUCCAGCCUGAUGAAAAGAGAUGCUGCAGGAGAGCCUUGCGUCCUAUUAGCUUGUUGGUGGGGUAACGGCCCACCAAGGCAAUGAUAGGUAGCCGGCCUGAGAGGGUGGACGGCCACAAGGGGACUGAGAUACGGCCCUUACUCCUACGGGAGGCAGCAGUGGGGAAUAUUGGACAAUGGGGGCAACCCUGAUCCAGCAAUUCUGUGUGCACGAUGAAGGUUUUCGGAUUGUAAAGUGCUUUCAGCAGGGAAGAAAAAAAUGACGGUACCUGCAGAAGAAGCGACGGCUAAAUACGUG